CCUACGGGAGGCAGCAGUGAGGAAUAUUGGUCAAUGGGCUUAAGCCUGAACCAGCCAAGUCGCGUGAGGGAAGACUGCCCUAUGGGUUGUAAACCUCUUUUGUCAGGGAGCAAUUGGCGCUACGUGUAGCGUUAUCGAGUGUACCUGAAGAAAAAGCAUCGGCUAACUCCGUGCCAGCAGCCGCGGUAAUACGGAGGUUGCGAGCGUUAUCCGGAGUUAUUGGGUUUAAAGGGUGCGUAGGCGGAAUGCCAAGUCAGCGGUAAAAUCGCGGGGCUCAACCGCGCUCUGCAGUUGAAACUGGCGUUCUUGAGUGGACGAGAGGUAUGCGGAAUGCGUGGUGUAGCGGUGAAAUGCAUAGAUAUCACGAAGAACUCCGAUUGCGAAGGCAGCAUACCGGCGCCCAACUGACGCUGAGGCACGAAAGCGUGGGGAUCGAACAGGAUUAGAUACCCCGGUAGUC
rnacentral:rRNA from 1 species